AUUGGAUUGAUUUAAUUGGCAUUUUAUUUGAUGAGUGAUAAUCUGAAAUUAAUUGUGAAUUAUUUAUGCAUGAAAUGGCUAAAUUACCCUUGUGAGGGUGUAUGUGUGAAUUUAAGCCAUGGGGGCAAAAUGGUCAUUUGACCAUAUUUGAUUUACAUUGAUUAAAAGUUAUUUUUGGAGAAAAAUCAAAGUAAUUUUCUGGUUUUCACUCAAUCUUGGCCGACCCUUUCCCUCUCUCAAACCCUCUCUUAAUUUUCAACCUAAGUUUGUGAGAAAUAGCUUGAUUUUGUGGUGGAUUGUGAGGGAAAAUUUGUUGGAAGCUUGGUGCUAUCUUGUGCAAGGAAUUGAGGAUUACCGGCACCUGGUCAGGAGCACCCGGGGAUUUAGAAUCUCUACUAUUGCUGGACAUCAGGAUUACGGGCACCUGGUCAGGAGCACCCGGGGAUUUGGAAUCUCUACUAUUGCGGGACAUCAGGAAAGGGUAAGUCAGUGGCUGAUCAACCAUGAGUUUGAGGAGCAAGACGAAGAAUGUACAUGUUCAAGCCAUAUCAGACCAAGCGGGUUAAGGGUCUAUCAGUGAUGAACUUUUGAAUUCUAUUUUGCCGUUUAGGUCGGCUAGAAAGAAAUGACUUGUAAUAGCAUUUGUAAAUAUUUUUGGGAUCCCAACUGUUUAAAAGUUUAAAAAGUAUUACAA